GACGAACGCUGGCGGCGUGCCUAAUACAUGCAAGUCGAACGCAGUGGGGACGGGUGAGUAACACGUGGGUAACCUCCCAUCAGAGGGGAUAACACUUGGAAACAGGCGCAAAACCGAAAUGGGUGGAUGAUGUCGCGGGGCAUUAGCUAGUUGGUGGGGUAACGGCUCACCAAGGCCACGAUGCAUAGCCGGCCUGCGAGUGUGAUCGGCCACACUGGAACUGAGACACGGCCCAGACUCCUACGGGAGGCAGCAGUAGGGAAUCUUCGGCAAUGGGCGAAAGUCUGACCGAGCAACGCCGCGUGAGUGAAGAAGGUUUUCGGAUCGUAAAACUCUUUUGUUAGAGAAGCGGUAUCUAACCAGAAAGCCACGGCUAACUACGUGCCAGCCGCCGCGGUAAUAC
rnacentral:rRNA from 1 species